AGUGAACGCUGGCGGCAGGCCUAACACAUGCAAGUCGAACGGCAGCACAAGAGAGCUUGCUCUCUGGGUGGCGAGUGGCGGACGGGUGAGGAAUGCAUCGGAAUCUGCCCAUUUGUGGGGAUUAACCUGGGGAAACGGGACCUAAUACGCCAUCCGCCCUACGGUUAAAGCCAGGGGAUCUUCGGCCUUGCCGCAGAUGAUUGAGCCGAGCCGGGAUUAGCUAGUUGGAGGGGUAAAGGCCAACCAAGGCGACGAUCCGUAGCUGGUCUGAGAGGAUGAUCAGCCACACUGGGACUGAGACACGGCCCAGACUCCUACGGGAGGCAGCAGUGGGGAAUAUUGGACAAUGGGCGCAAGCCUGAUCCAGCCAUGCCGCGUGUGUGAAGAAGGCCUUCGGGUUGUAAAGCACUUUUGUUGGGAAAGAAAAGCAGCCGGUUAAUACCCGGUUGUCAUGACGGUACCCAAAGAAUAAGCACCGGCUAACUUCGUG
rnacentral:rRNA from 1 species